AGAGGCCAUGGUCUGCUUUACCUUUCCCUUCCUUUGAAGGAGCCCACUUUAUCAUUUCCUAGCCCUGGGAUGCAAGCCCCGUAGCCCCACUGUUACCUUUGUGGGACAUGACUGUGGUUGGAUCACACUUGGGAGCAAAGGUGGCAGUAGAGAGGUGCCCUGCUACCAGGGCGGAGGGCUGACCUUCCUAAGACAAGAAGCACCACCAGUCCCUGUUGCGAAGUAUCAUGGAGAGGGGAUCGUGGAAAAUGUUGAAGAGGGGGAGAAGGAUUCAUCGGCACAGACAGACACAUUUUUGCAGAGGCAGAUGACCAGUUCUCCACAGAGCGUCCAGAGCUUUCAUGAAAUUCCUCUGUGAGAAAAGAAUUUCAGGCUGUAAUGGAGGAGUCAGAUCUCUACUGGUUCCAGCCUUCUCAUUGACUCAAUGCUUAUGGAGCAUGCAUAUAAUGGUUUUUCCCCUGAGAAACCAAACUUAUCCUAAAAUGCCAUGGAAUUAAAGGGAUGGAUUCCCCUCCUGCUUACCUCUGCCAGAACACCCCUCAUGUUAACAGCUCUCUGCAGCAAAAAUAAAACAAA